UACGGAGGAUCCAAGCGUUAUCCGGAUUUAUUGGGUUUAAAGGGUGCGUAGGCGGCCUAUUAAGUCAGGGGUGAAAGACGGUAGCUUAACUAUCGCAGUGCCUUUGAUACUGAUGGGCUUGAAUGAACUAGAGGUAGGGCGGAAUGUGACAAGUAGCGGUGAAAUGCAUAGAUAUGUCACAGAACACCAAUUGCGAAAGGCAGCUUACUAUGGUUUAUUUGACGCUGAGGCACGAAAGCGUGGGGAUCAAACAGG
rnacentral:rRNA from 1 species